rnacentral:rRNA from 1 species
UACGUAGGGCGCGAGCGUUGUCCGGAAUUAUUGGGCGUAAAGAGCUCGUAGGCGGCCUGUUGCGUCCGCUGUGAAAUCCCAGGGCUUAACCCUGGGCGUGCAGUGGAUACGGGCAGGCUGGAGGCAGGCAGGGGAGAACGGAAUUCCUGGUGUAGCGGUGAAAUGCGCAGAUAUCAGGUGGAACACCAGUGGCGAAGGCGGCUUUCUGGACGGUAACUGACGCUGAGACGCGAAAGCGUGGGGAGCAAACAGG